UUCUGGCUCAGGAUGAACGCUAGCUACAGGCUUAACACAUGCAAGUCGAGGGGCAGCGGGAAGUUAGCUUGCUAACUUGCCGGCGACCGGCGCACGGGUGAGUAACGCGUAUCCAACCUUCCCCUUAGUAGGGCAUAGCCCGUAGAAAUGCGGAUUAAUACCCUAUGUUAUUCGUCGAGGACAUCUGAAGUGAAUCAAAGGUUUACCGCUAAGGGAUGGGGAUGCGUCUGAUUAGGCAGCAGGCGGGGUAACGGCCCACCUGGCCGACGAUCAGUAGGGGUUCUGAGAGGAAGGUCCCCCACAUUGGAACUGAGACACGGUCCAAACUCCUACGGGAGGCAGCAGUGAGGAAUAUUGGUCAAUGGUCGAGAGACUGAACCAGCCAAGUAAGCGUGCAGGACGACGGCCCUAUGGGUUGUAAACUGCUUUUAUGCGGGGAUAAAGUGAGGGACGUGUCCCUUUUUGUAGGUACCGCAUGAAUAAGGACCGGCUAAUUCCGUGCCAGCCGCCGC
rnacentral:rRNA from 1 species